rnacentral:siRNA from 1 species
UAAACAGUAUUUGAGAAUAAGUCU